rnacentral:lncRNA from 1 species
AGAGACCAAUAUGCAUUUGAUAUUUGUUUAAGAAAACCAUCCAUCAUAAAGCUCAAAUGCAAAAAUCAGCAUAUAAAUGAGCAUUAAAGGAAAACAAAUCAACUGAGAGAGCUUCGUGAAAGGGGAACCAUUCAGGCAAAUCAUUAUGUGCUAAGUGUGAGCUAGUAGAAAACCAUAAAGCACGUGCAAUAAAGCAGGGGAUCGAACAGAGAACCAAGACUCAACCGUAGACAGACCAAAAAUAAAAUGACUUGUAGGAAGUUGAGAUCCAGAGAAUGAGUCGGGUGGACUGAUUGAAGUGUUAAGAAGUUCUUUCAUGCCUAUUUUCCAGCACUUGGUGUGCAUGCAGAAAAAAGAAGAGAAAACCCCAAAUUAGAAGAAAAUGAUAGAAGAGAGAACAGAUUUAAUGAAGGACUGUAGUAGACAAUCACAAGAGGGCUAUGUUCCCCCCUCUUAUUUCUGUUCGUUAAAACAGUAGAAGAAAAUCCUAAGAGGAGAGCUCGCACAAGGAUCCCUCGCAAGAGAACGCUGUCUCUUUUCC